rnacentral:tRNA from 1 species
GCGGACGUGGUGGAAUUGGUAGACACGCUGGCUUGAGGGGCCAGUGGGCAUUUGCUUGUGAGGGUUCAAGUCCCUCCGUCCGCACCA